rnacentral:rRNA from 1 species
UACGGGGGGGGGGCAAGCGUUGUUCGGAAUUACUGGGCGUAAAGGGCUCGUAGGCGGCCAACUAAGUCGGACGUGAAAUCCCUCGGCUUAACCGGGGAACGGCGUCCGAUACUGGAUGGCUUGAGUUUGGGAGAGGGAUGCGGAAUUCCAGGUGUGAGCGGUGAAAUGCGUAGAUAUCUGGAGGAACACCGGUGGCGAAGGCGGCAUCCUGGACCAUCACUGACGCUGAGACACGAAAGCGUGGGUAGCAAACAGG